UAUAUAUGUAUAUAUCAAUUAUGAUAACAGUUGCAGAAUUACAUGUGAAUAUGUAUAUAUUAUUUUGUAAGUUUUAAGAUAAUACAUAAUACAUGUGAAUAUGUGAAUGUUAUUUUGUAAGUGUUAAGAUUGUUAUUACUAUACGUCAACAUUCUUUGGCAGUGUGUAAAUCAUAUCAGUCAAAAUUGUGAUACUGAAGAGUUUUUUUUUGUUUUUAAGAGAAAUAACUUUGAGUGUAAUGUACCUGGUAAGAGACUUGUAAGUUAAAUAUUAAUUUUGAUAUUAUAUGUGUACCUACGUGAAAAAUUGGCAGGUAGUUUCUUUAUCAAUCAAAUCGAUCAUCUCCAAACAUUUGAUGAUUGUUGAUAUAAUGUAUAUAUGUUGAAGUCAUACACUGUUGGUUAUUUUGUAUGUUUUGUGUCCUCAUUGGCUUUAAAGCCUAUUUGAAUGAAAUAACGUGUCUUCUGCAUAAUAGAAACUGGGACAUAAUAUGAAUAAAGUCCCAAACAGAACAGUUAUUCCAUUAGAGCAGAUAAUGAAUAAAAAGUUAUUUUUAAUAUAAGUACUGAGCUUUCAACACACAAACAUUUACUUAAUUACAGUUGUCAAACUAAAAUAUAUGAUAAAUUUUACUAUUAAUUAUCAAUCCUUUAUUAAAGCAAUUUAAUAUUUUAGAAUUUUGGCAAUUCGACUCAAAAAGAAAAGAAAUAUAAAAAAUACAUUCUCUUGAUAAGUUAUUUCUUAUUAUUAUUAAAACACACAUACAUUUAUUUAAUUAUAGUUGUCUAACUAAAAUAUAUGAUAAAUUUUACUAUUAUUAUUAUUAUUAUUAUUAUUAUUAUUAAAAAAUAAAUAACUGAUUAAGCAUUAGAAUUAAAGUUUUGCCUAUGAAAAAGUAUCAAUGCUUAUGUUAUACAUGUAUGAAAAGCGUUUAUGGAUACAUGAUAUUUCCUAUUUAAUAUUUAUUAAAUUUAAAUUUAUUUUGACUUAAUAUGCUGGUUUCUUCCGGAUUAUCAAGGACCUUAAUAUAAAUCCGUGGCAUUAUUAAUGCUAAAUGCUUUAUUGUACAAACGGUAUCUAGGCAUAUCACGCGUUUUCAAAACAGCCAAUGAGUUUAAAGCGUUGGUUUUGUAUCACGUGAAUCCUAUCAACCAAUCAGAAAUAGCGCGGGCGAAAUGAAAAAAAGAAAAAAAAAGCGAUUGGAAAUGGAUGGUUAAUAAAAUUCAGAAUAUUGCAAAACAAGGACAGUGUACAGCGUGUUUAAAUCUUCCAGAAAUGCAGCUGUGCCCUCUUAACAGCAAUUAUAGAUGAAGCAAAGUAUGGUAGCAAGUAAUAUAGAUAUACACACGAGUAUACACACAUGCCGAAGAAGAAUGUAAUAUCUGGAGAAAACAUUUCCUACGUCACGAAAUAGACACCGUCACACUGGCCUAUAGAUGAUUGAUAUAUUUAAGUGCUUUUAAGAACAGUGUUUGAAUGACGAAUUUCUUAAAAAUACGGAUUUUUAAUUUUAAUGCUUAUUAUUAAAACUUUCUGUAAUUAUCAAUUUGUGCCAUGGACUCAUUAUCUUAAAAUAACAUGUGAAUGUUAACACGAGCAAAUGAUAUGAAUAUCU